rnacentral:rRNA from 1 species
AUUGAACGCUGGCGGCAUGCUUUACACAUGCAAGUCGAACGGUAACAGGCCUUCGGGUGCUGACGAGUGGCGAACGGGUGAGUAAUGCAUCGGAACGUGCCCAGAGGUGGGGGAUAACGCAGCGAAAGCUGUGCUAAUACCGCAUGUGAUCUGAGGUUGAAAGCGGGGGACCAAGCAGCAAUGUUUGGCCUCGCGCCUCUGGAGCGGCCGAUGUCAGAUUAGGUAGUUGGUGGGGUAAAGGCCUACCAAGCCGACGAUCUGUAGCUGGUCUGAGAGGACGACCAGCCACACUGGGACUGAGACACGGCCCAGACUCCUACGGGAGGCAGCGGUGGGGAAUUUUGGACAAUGGGCGCAAGCCUGAUCCAGCAAUGCCGCGUGCGGGAAGAAGGCCUUCGGGUUGUAAACCGCUUUUGUACGGAACGAAAAGGCUCUGGCUAAUACCUGGGGCUGAUGACGGUACCGUAAGAAUAAGCACCGGCUAACUACGUG